rnacentral:tRNA from 1 species
GCAGUGGCAGUUCAGUGGGAGAAUUCCAGCCUUCCAUGUGGGAGACCUGGGUUUAAUUCCCAGCGUGUGCA